rnacentral:rRNA from 1 species
AUGAAGCAACGGACUGACAAAUCGUGGCCAGCAUACAGGCAGGCGAAGAUAGCCAAUGUAUUUGCAUGUUUUCUUGACUUAUAUUACAAUGCAUCCACAAUAAAAGCUAAAUUACAUAAUGAUAUUCUCCCAUAUACAAUGAAACUUAUCUUUUCAUGGAAUUCAGAAUGUUUUUUAACAGCUCACUCAUGUAUAUUGAUCUGGGUAGUAUAUGUUAUUCUGGUUGACAUUUAUCACUUAAAAUUAAUUGUAUACUAUAAUGGUAAUAUCCAACUUGGUCCCCUUGAAUUGCUCAGGACAUUUGUGUUAGAUCUUCGAACUUAG